AAUCAUCAAAACCCUUUUCUUUGAUCCCUAUUGUGGUCAGGAAAAGGAUUUUUGGACUUGGAGGUUUCAUGCUUGCUUUUGCUUUCAAAAGUGAGCUCCUCUCAAAUGAAUUAGUGGGGUCUGCUUUGCUGGUCCUUGACGUGAUAAGAUGUUUCAACGUUUUGGCUUUGGCACUGUCCCUUGGAUGCCUGCUUUUAACUGUCUCUCGAGACAAUGAUGGUGCUUCGGUCACCGGCCAAUCUACAUUGGCGGGGAGGCUGGACCCACAAAAAGAAAAGA
rnacentral:misc_RNA from 1 species